GGGGCUAUAGCUCAGCUGGAGAGCGCUUGCAUGGCAUGCAAGAGGUCAGCGGUUCGAUCCCGCUUAGCUCCACCA
rnacentral:tRNA from 1 species